CAAUAUAAUUGAACUAGACUUUUAUUUACACUCCAUAUAAGCCAAAUUAAAUCUAAAUUAUAUAUUAUUCUAAUCAGAUUAGAAUUUAUCUUCAAUUUAGAUAACUAUAAAUAUAAACUAAAAUUUAACAAAAAAUUUUAUUUGUUCUAAUUAUUAUGUAAAUUUAAGAAUUUAUUAUAGUGAUUAUAAUGUUGUAGGAUAUUUUUUGAUUGCAUGGUUAGGGGGUACUUAAGAAAUAAAAAAUAAGUAUUAAAGAAAGUAGUGAAUGACAUUCUUCAUUAAUAAAGUGUUGAAU
rnacentral:lncRNA from 1 species